UACGUAGGGGGCAAGCGUUGUCCGGAUUUAUUGGGCGUAAAGAGCGUGUAGGCGGCCAUACAGGUCAGCUGUGAAAACUCGAGGCUCAACCUCGAGACGUCGGUUGAAACCGUAUGGCUAGAGUCCGGAAGAGGAGAGUGGAAUUCCCAGUGUAGAGGUGAAAUUCGUAGAUAUUGGGAAGAACACCGGUGGCGAAGGCGGUCCGCUGGGGUGUUGCUGACGCUGAGGCGCGACAGCGUGGGGAGCAAACAGG
rnacentral:rRNA from 1 species